UGAGGAAUAUUGGUCAAUGGGCGUGAGCCUGAACCAGCCAAGUAGCGUGCAGGACGACGGCCCUAUGGGUUGUAAACUGCUUUUAUGCGGGGAUAAAGGAGUCCACGUGUGGAUUUUUGCAGGUACCGCAUGAAUAAGGACCGGCUAAUUCCGUGCCAGCAGCCGCGGUAAUACGGAAGGUCCGGGCGUUAUCCGGAUUUAUUGGGUUUAAAGGGAGCGUAGGCCGCGUUUUAAGCGUGUUGUGAAAUGUAGGCGCCCAACGUCUGCAUCGCAGCGCGAACUGGAACGCUUGAGUACGCGCAACGUUGGCGGAAUUCGUCGUGUAGCGGUGAAAUGCUUAGAUAUGACGAAGAACUCCGAUUGCGAAGGCAGCUGACGGGAGCGGCACUGACGCUUAAGCUCGAAGGUGCGGGUAUCAAACAGG
rnacentral:rRNA from 1 species